ACCCCGCCCAUCUUUACCCGCCGGCGUGUACCCACCCGACCCGCGCAGCUUGAUUUGGGAGAGAUUUCCUUUUCUUUCUCUCCCUUUCUAUGCGCAGCGCUUGAUCGACGCCGGCCUCCUCCCUCGCGACGGGCCUGCCCCCAACGCCUCCUCCCCCUCGCGGCAGCCUUUGAGCUUCUCAUCUCAGCAUGCAACAAAGGAUGGGAAUGGAGCCACCGCCGCCCACGUCGCCGAAGACGCGGCCGCCGGCGCCGCCGUCCCGGAGACGCGCACGCCGCGGACGUCGCCGGACACGCGCACGCGGCGGCGCCGGAACCAGCCACCGCCGGCCGUCACCGGACACGCGGACGAGCCUUUCAGCUACUCAUCUUCUGCACGCCCCCAUCCCAUGCGCCUCCUCCUCUUCUGCACGCCCCCCAUCCCAUGCGCCUCCUCCUCUUCUCCUCAUAAUGUCAGCACACAGUCCAUCCAGCUCCUCAUCCACGCACACGGCGAAGCCGAUCUCACCAGAGACAAGGACGCCGAUGGCCAUGGACAGCGGACACCGGAGACGAGGACGCCGCACGCGCGCGGCCAGCGCCGGGGAAGCGCACGCCGUGCCGCAUCGCCGGAGACGUGGUGCAGAUUAAGGUGACUUCGGCACAUGCUUGAGACACAUAAUCCUUCAUGAAAGCUGAUGGUGCUGUAGAGUUACAAGUAUUAUCCUUUUCUUUUUUAUGCUGUAAUGAGUAAGAUACAAGGUUUUUGCAAUGAGAAGCUCUCACCAAUAUGCUUUAUUAUCAAUAAUCUUGGAUAUGUUUUUAUUGCAGGAAGAGGAUCAUUUGAAGAAAAAAAUCUAAGAGAGGUGGGAAUAAGGCAAAUCAGAUUAAUUUAUAUUUAAGGAUUGAUAUCAAUCUAACUCCUAUACAUUGUGGGUAAAACUUGAAAUAUGGAGGCAAAGAAUAAAGUCAUGUUGUUACCGAAGCACUGGAAACAUGUUGAAUUAAUCUGCUGAUUCCAACGGUGGUGAUACAUGACUAUGCUUUCAUCGCUUCGUUCAGUAGAUCAGCUUGUGAGAUAGAGCCACCUCGGGAUGCCUUCCCUGAUGAUGUGAUGAUGAGACUUAGAGGAGCUCUGGAUGGGGUUGCUGUCGAGCGUUCUUGGAAGCAAGUGGCAAAAGCUGAAUCGAUAAGUGCAUUGUAGUCCUUUUUUAUCCAUCUUUGAUAGAUUUUUACAUGUUCAUUUGCUGCUCAUUAUUGGAAUUCUGUUUUGUUGAUAUAAUUUUGGUAAUUUCUGUUCUUUGAACUUUGGACGAUUACCGUAACAUGUCGUUUUGUUUGGAGUGAUUGGAUUAUUACUAUGACAUAAUGAACAAUGCUUGUAACUGAUUCUCUCUGUUUUGGGAAAUAAACAAAAUAAAUGGGGAAAUCAAUUGGUGAUUUAGAUUUUAUUGAAGAGAUGAAAUUUGUUGGCAUUAUGGUGAAAUGCUUGUAACUAGGUGCAUGCUAGCAUGGUGCACACACACUUUUGAGAUAGAACUGAUAAAUCACAUAGAUUAAUGUCAGGUCCUUAGAUAUGACAAGGUCCCUAGCUAUGAAAUGGUUUAGAGAGGUAAAAAGGUAUCAGGAUGUAGUUCUUUCUAUAUUGAACUAACCAGCUUUCAAUUGGAGAGGAAUUAAGUUAAUCUUUUUCUAACCUCGCUGGUUAACAUGGAGCUAGCUGGUGUUGCUUUGUUCAUCCUAUGUUCAGAAAAGUUUAAGCUGCAGACUAUUAAGCCUUGGCAGUUGCUGACAACACAUGACGAAAAUUCAAGAGUUAUUGUUUGAGAUUAUAUUUUUUCCUUGAAAUUUCAUAUUGCGAAUGGAUCCUUUCUUGUCAUUUACUUGAGGCUUUGCUUGGUCUUGCAGGACACAUGGAUUUCAAGGGCCCAGAUUCCUUGGCUCAAGCAUAUAAACUGAAUGGAACUAUCCUUGGUGGCUACAACUUCAUCAUCGAUGAACCCAAGAAGAAACCUGAUAAUAACAGAGAGACGCUGGCUUCAGUGGUGAUAGGCAUGGUAGUUCCAGUAACAGAGGGAGGAAGGAGCAACAGGCGCUGGGUGGAGACGGCUGCGGAGAUGGUUAUGGACGUCAUCGAGAUCAUGGGCGACGAUUUGGAGGACUGAGUGUUGGUGGCUUCUAGCUGGUAGAACAUGACUUGCCAAGGGCCUAUAGGCAUAAAAAGACUCUGUUGUUCAUGCUAAGAUGUAUUUGCUGAAUUAUGUUCCAUAAUAGUCAUUUCUACCUCAUGCUAUAAUAGUUAUUUUUAUCGACAA